rnacentral:lncRNA from 1 species
AGAGCACGCAUGACAUGCUGGGGCAAGCGUGAUUUUUACAGCACGCUUCGGAAGCUCGAUCAAGACCGCUUUGCUGGAUGUUUCCAGAACAUUCUUAAGGAAUAUUUGAAAACCAGGAUUGGAAAAAAACCCAAAACAACAACAACAACAACAGAUUAGAUCAACUCUUUGCUGUGGAGAUUCUGGCUUCCAAAAAUCCUGCUGACUGCAGCACAGCUGAUGAUGUCAUUGCAUCAUCACAGCGGAACUGGAAUUCCUACUGAAAUUACACUUCACGACAAACAAGACACAAGCCAAGAACGCCACUCACUGUGUUUUCCCACAAAUAAGUGCUAUAAUGUCCUGUGAGAAUUUUGUCUGUGCUUUUAGAGACAUGGGAAUCAUUUGACAGUAUUUAAUUUUCCAGUUGUGCUCCUUAUAUACAAAUAAAAAAAAUUAAAGGAUCAAGA